AUACGUAGGUGGCAAGCGUUGUCCGGAAUUACUGGGUGUAAAGGGAGCGUAGGCGGGAAUGCAAGUUGAAUGUUAAAACUAUGGGCUUAACCCAUAUCUGCGUUCAAAACUGUAUUUCUUGAGUGAAGUAGAGGUAGGCGGAAUUCCUAGUGUAGCGGUGAAAUGCGUAGAUAUUAGGAGGAACACCAGUGGCGAAGGCGGCUUACUGGGCACUAACUGACGCUGAGGCACGAAAGCAUGGGGAGC
rnacentral:rRNA from 1 species